rnacentral:rRNA from 1 species
ACGCUGAUCUUCGGACGCUGGAUGAGGGACGCGGUUUUCAAAAUUACGUGAACCGAGUUCGGACCGGGUCUCCUGUUUAUGCAAAGGUUGCGGGAUUAUUGUUCCAAACGUCGAGACUUGUAUGAAUGACUAAACGAGGUCUUAACUGUCUCCUGCAGAUAAUCAGUGAAAUUAGUAUCCUCGUGCAAAAACGAGAAUGUGACCAUAAGACGAGAAGACCCUGUGGAACUUUAAAAUCACGACCACCCUUAUAAUUACAUUCACCCCACCGGGCACAUCCACACUAACACCCUUGGUCGACAUUUUUCGGUUGGGGCGACCUUGGAGAAAAACAAAACCUCCAAACUUACAGACCACACCUCUUAACCAAGAUCCACCCAUCAAAGUCCUAACAGUAACUAGACCCAAUAUAAUUGAUUAAUGGACCAAGCUACCCCAGGGAUAACAGCGCAAUCUCCUCCAAGAGCCCCUAUCGACAAGGAGGUUUACGACCUCGAUGUUGGAUCAGGACAACCUAAUGGUGUAGCCGCUAUUAAGGGUUCGUUUGUUCAACGAUUAACAGUCCUACGUGAUCUGAGUUCAGACCCGGAUCGCCUGUUUAUCAAAAAACAUGACGUGAUCGAGAGUUCAACUCGUUUCCCCGGUUUAUUAAAAAAUUUAAAUUUUAG